UAGAGUUUGAUCCUGGCUCAGGAUGAACGCUGGCGGCGUGCCUAAUACAUGCAAGUCGAGCGGUAAGGCCCCUUCNGGGGUACACGAGCGGCGGACGGCUGAGUAACGCNUAGGAACNUACCCCNAAGUGAGGGAUAAGCNCNNNNAAUGGUGUCUAAUACCGGAUGUGGCCAGAGGCUAAGNGACCGAGCAUAAGGAAUGGCAUGAAGAAAUUACUUGAGAAUGCAAUCAAGUUUGACUACGCUACGAGCGGAUGUGGAAGAACAAAUUGGGAUAUGGAGACGGGAGAGAGCAACCCACAAGAUACAGAAAAAAUGAGAGAAAGUCUGGGUACGUGAGAGAGUUGAUGAAAAGACCGGCAUAGAACAGUACAAGUGAACGAUAAGAGAAAUGGAGGUGAGAGGCGGGAAUUAGCUACACCAAGGCAAGGUCAUCGGAUGUGGGUAUGAAGGUGGUGAAAGAAGAUAGUAAUAUAAAGAAGAAAACGGAGGGUGUAGGGAAAGGGAUGGGGCGGGGGGGGUGGACGGGCAGGUGGUGAGGAAACGAAAAACUGGGAAGGAGGAGAGGGGGAGGGGGGUUGAUUUUCGCAUUAAGUAAAGAAGAAAAAUACGAGGAAGGGAAGGAUGCGGGACAGGAGGCAGGCGCGACAGCGGAGAAGUGAGUAGGGACAGUACCAAUAAAAAAUUAAAGUAUCAACGAAGAACAUAGGUGAGCAGCGGAGGAGUAGGACUGUGAUGGUUUUGGGUUCGGAGGUAUUUUGUG
rnacentral:rRNA from 1 species